rnacentral:rRNA from 1 species
AGGCCGAUGGCGACCGGCGCACGGGUGAGUAACACGUAUCCAACCUGCCGUCUACUCUUGGACAGCCUUCUGAAAGGAAGAUUAAUACAAGAUGGCAUCAUGAGUCCGCAUGUUCACAUUAUUAAAGGUAUUCCGGUAGACGAUGGGGAUGCGUUCCAUUAGAUAGUAGGCGGGGUAACGGCCCACCUAGUCUUCGAUGGAUAGGGGUUCUGAGAGGAAGGUCCCCCACAUUGGAACUGAGACACGGUCCAAACUCCUACGGGAGGCAGCAGUGAGGAAUAUUGGUCAAUGGGCGAGAGCCUGAACCAGCCAAGUAGCGUGAAGGAUGACUGCCCUAUGGGUUGUAAACUUCUUUUAUAAAGGAAUAAAGUCGGGUAUGGAUACCCGUUUGCAUGUACUUUAUGAAUAAGGAUCGGCUAACUCCGUGCCAGCAGCCGCGGUAAUACGGAGGAUCCGAGCGUUAUCCGGAUUUAUUGGGUUUAAAGGGAGCGUAGAUGGAUGUUUAAGUCAGUUGUGAAAGUUUGCGGCUCAACCGUAAAAUUGCAGUUGAUACUGGAUAUCUUGAGUGCAGUUGAGGCAGGCGGAAUUCGUGGUGUAGCGGUGAAAUGCUUAGAUAUCACGAAGAACUCCGAUUGCGAAGGCAGCCUGCUAAGCUGCAACUGACAUUGAGGCUCGAAAGUGUGGG